ACGCCGCGUGAGGGAUGACGGCCUUCGGGUUGUAAACCUCUUUCAGUAGGGAAGAAGCGAAAGUGACGGUACCUGCAGAAGAAGCGCCGGCUAACUACGUGCCAGCAGCCGCGGUAAUACGUAGGGCGCAAGCGUUAUCCGGAAUUAUUGGGCGUAAAGAGCUCGUAGGCGGUUUGUCGCGUCUGCCGUGAAAGUCCGGGGCUCAACUCCGGAUCUGCGGUGGGUACGGGCAGACUAGAGUGAUGUAGGGGAGACUGGAAUUCCUGGUGUAGCGGUGAAAUGCGCAGAUAUCAGGAGGAACACCGAUGGCGAAGGCAGGUCUCUGGGCAUUAACUGACGCUGAGGAGCGAAAGCAUGGGGAGCGAACAGGAUUAGAUACCCUGGUAGUCCAUGCCGUAAACGUUGGGCACUAGGUGUGGGGGACAUUCCACGUUUUCCGCGCCGUAGCUAACGCAUUAAGUGCCCCGCCUGGGGAGUACGGCCGCAAGGCUAAAACUCAAAGGAAUUGACGGGGGCCCGCACAAGCGGCGGAGCAUGCGGAUUAAUUCGAUGCAACGCGAAGAACCUUACCAAGGCUUGACAUGGACCGGACCGCCGCAGAAAUGUGGUUUCCCCUUUGGGGCCGGUUCACAGGUGGUGCAUGGUUGUCGUCAGCUCGUGUCGUGAGAUGUUGGGUUAAGUCCCGCAACGAGCGCAACCCUCGUUCCAUGUUGCCAGCGCGUAAUGGCGGGGACUCAUGGGAGACUGCCGGGGUCAACUCGGAGGAAGGUGGGGACGACGUCAAAUCAUCAUGCCCCUUAUGUCUUGGGCUUCACGCAUGCUACAAUGGCCGGUACAAAGGGUUGCGAUACUGUGAGGUGGAGCUAAUCCCAAAAAGCCGGUCUCAGUUCGGAUUGGGGUCUGCAACUCGACCCCAUGAAGUCGGAGUCGCUAGUAAUCGCAGAUCAGCAACGCUGCGGUGAAUACGUUCCCGGGCCUUGUACACACCGCCCGUCAAGUCACGAAAGUUGGUAACACCCGAAGC
rnacentral:rRNA from 1 species